rnacentral:rRNA from 1 species
GAUGAACGCUAGCUACAGGCUUAACACAUGCAAGUCGAGGGGUAACGAGAGGAAAGCUUGCUUUCCUUGUCGACGACCGGCGCACGGGUGAGUAACGCGUAUCCAACCUGCCCCCAACUAGGGAAUAACCUUGCGAAAGUAAGACUAAUACCCUAUAAUUUCCUCAGAUGUCAUCUGACGAGGAAUAAAGAUUUAUCGGUUGUGGAUGGGGAUGCGUCUGAUUAGAUUGUUGGCGGGGUAACGGCCCACCAAGGCAACGAUCAGUCGGGGUUCUGAGAGGAAGGUCUCGCACCUUGGAACUAAUUCGCGGUCCAAACUCCUACGAGAGGCAGCAAUGAGGAAUAUUGGUCAAUGGUCAGAAUCCUGAACCAGCCAUGUAACGUUCAGGAUGACGGCCCUAUGAGUUGUAAACUGCUUUUAUACAGGAAUAAAGUUAGCCACGUGUGGUUAUUUGUAAGUACUGUAUGAAUAAGGACCGGCUAAUUCCGUUCCAGCCGCCGCCGUAA